rnacentral:tRNA from 1 species
AGUAAGGUCAGCUAAUUAAGCUAUCGGGCCCAUACCCCGAAAAUGAAGGUUCAACUCCCUCCCCUACUA